UGGGGAAUAUUGCACAAUGGGGGAAACCCUGAUGCAGCGACGCCGCGUGAGCGAUGAAGUAUUUCGGUAUGUAAAAGCUCUAUCAGCAGGGAAGAAAAUGACGGUACCUGACUAAGAAGCCCCGGCUAACUACGUGCCAGCAGCCGCGGUAAUGCGUAGGGGGCAAGCGUUAUCCGGAUUUACUGGGUGUAAAGGGAGCGUAGACGGAGAGGCAAGUCUGGAAGUGAAAACCCCGGGGCUCAACCCCGGGACUGCUUUGGAAAACUGUUUUUUCUAGAGUGUCGGAGAGGUAAGUGGAAUUCCUAGUGUAGCGGUGAAAUGCGUAGAUAUUAGGAGGAACACCAGUGGCGAAGGCGGCUUACUGGACGAUGACUGACGUUGAGGCUCGAAAGCGUGGGGAGCAAACAGGAUUAGAUACCC
rnacentral:rRNA from 1 species